AGAAUCAACGCUGGCGGCGUGCCUAACACAUGCAAGUCGAACGAGAAAGUGGGAGCAAUCCCACGAGUAAAGUGGCGCACGGGUGAGUAACACGUGACUAACCUACCCUUGAGUGGGGGAUAACCUAGGGAAACCUGGGCUAAUACCGCAUAAUACCUACGGGUCAAAGGAGCAAUUCGCUUUAGGAGGGGGUCGCGGCAGAUUAGUUAGUUGGCGGGGUAAUGGCCCACCAAGACAGUGAUCUGUAUCCGGCCUGAGAGGGCGCACGGACACACUGGAACUGAAACACGGUCCAGACUCCUACGGGAGGCAGCAGUGGGGAAUUUGCGCAAUGGGGGAAACCCUGACGCAGCAACGCCGCGUGGAGGAUGAAGCCCCUUGGGGCGUAAACUCCUUUUCGAUCGGGAAGAUAAUGACGGUACCGGAAGAAAGAAGCCCCGGCUAAACUUCGACGCCAGCAGCCGC
rnacentral:rRNA from 1 species